AUGGCUGCAAUUUUAGAACUAUGGGUUGGUGAGUUUUCAAAGAUCAAAGAAAAAGUUAGUAUCCCCCUAAAGCCUUUCUUCUCAAAAGCCAAACAAACAACAACAGAACAAAACAACAAGGAGAGCGUUGAUGUUCCAAGCAGAAACAGCUCUUCACGUGUCUCUUCAACCAUGUCAGAGGAAACCGUCUGUUUGCUUAUGGAUCGAUUCGUUCCUUGGUAA